UGGGGAAUAUUGGACAAUGGGGGCAACCCUGAUCCAGCGAUGCCGCGUGAGUGAUGAAGGCCGUAGGGUUGUAAAGCUCUUUUGUGGGGGAAGAAACCACUUUGGCUAAUAUCCAGUGCGAAUGACGGUACCUGAAGAAUAAGCAACGGCUAACUGCGUGCCAGCAGCCGCGGUAAUACGUAGGGUGCAAGCGUUAAUCGGAAUUACUGGGCGUAAAGCGUGUGCAGGCGGUCGUUCAAGACAGAUGUCAAAUCCCCGUGCUUAACGUGGGGUCUGCGUUUGUGACUGCCCGGCUUGAGUGUGUCAGAGGGGGGUAGAAUUCCACGUGUAGCAGUGAAAUGCGUAGAUAUGUGGAGGAACACCGAUGGCGAAGGCAGCCCCCUGGGAUAACACUGACGCUCAUGCACGAAAGCGUGGGGAGCAAACA
rnacentral:rRNA from 1 species